rnacentral:rRNA from 1 species
CCUACGGGAGACUGCAGUGAGGAAUAUUGGUCAAUGGACGAGAGUCUGAACCAGCCAAGUAGCGUGAAGGAUGACUGCCCUAUGGGUUGUAAACUUCUUUUAUAUGGGAAUAAAAUGUUCCACGUGUGCGCUUUUGUAUGUACCUUAUGAAUAAGGAUCGGCUAACUCCGUGCCAGCAGCCGCGGUAAUACGGAGGAUCCGAGCGUUAUCCGGAUUUAUUGGGUUUAAAGGGAGCGUAGGUGGAUUGUUAAGUCAGUUGUGAAAGUUUGCGGCUCAACCGUAAAAUUGCAGUUGAAACUGGCAGUCUUGAGUACAGUAGAGGUGGGCGGAAUUCGUGGUGUAGCGGUGAAAUGCUUAGAUAUCACGAAGAACUCCGAUUGCGAAGGCAGCUCACUGGACUGCAACUGACACUGAGGCUCGAAAGUGUGGGUAUCAAACAGGAUUAGAUACCCUAGUAGUC